UCCGAAUUGGUGUAGUGGCUAACAUUUGGUGCUCUCACUUCUCGGAUGAAUGAAUCCUCUAGGUGAUCCGCCAAGCCCGGGGUUCGAUUCCCCGAUUCGGAG